rnacentral:rRNA from 1 species
UUUAAGGUCUAAUCUGCCCAAUGAGGAGUUAAAUGGCCGCGGUAUUUUGACCGUGCAAAGGUAGCAUAAUAAUUAGUUUUUUAAUUGAAAGCUGGAAUGAAUGAUUGGACGAGAAAAUUACUGUCUCGGUUUAAUUUUAUUAGAAAUUUAUUUUUAAGUAAAAAAGCUUAAAUUUUUUUAAAAGACGAGAAGACCCUAUAGAGUUUUAUAUUUAUAACUAUUUUAUUUUUUUAGAAUUAUUAUAUUAAAAUGGUUUAUUGUAUUUUGUUGGGGCGAUAGAAAAAUUUAGUUAACUUUUUUUAUAUAUUUACAUUGAUUUAUGGUUCAAUGAUCCAUUGUUUAUGAUUAUAAGAUUAAAUUACCUUAGGGAUAACAGCGUAAUUUUUUUUUAGAGUUCAAAUCGAAAAAAAAGAUUGCGACCUCGAUGUUGGAUUAAAAUGAAUGUUUGGUGCAGGGGCUAAAUAAUUAGGUCUGUUCGACCUUUAGAAUUUUACA